rnacentral:rRNA from 1 species
CAAUAGCGUAUAUUAAAGUUGUUGCAGUUAAAAAGCUCGUAGUUGGAUUUGUGGUUCGUCCUGCCGGCUGGGUCAUUGACUUUUGCUGUGCUGGUCGUCCAUCCUUGGGUGGAAUCUGUGUGGCAUUAGGUUGUCGCGCAGGGGAUGCCCAUCGUUUACUGUGAAAAAAUUAGAGUGUUCAAAGCAGGCUUAUGCCGUUGAAUAUAUUAGCAUGGAAUAAUGAUAUAGGACCUUGGUACUAUUUUGUUGGUUUGCGCACUGAGGUAAUGAUUAAUAGGGACAGUUGGGGGUAUUCGUAUUCCAUUGUAAGAGGUGAAAUUCUUGGAUUUUUGGAAGACGAACUACUGCGAAAGCAUUUACCAAGGAUGUUUUCAUUAA